GGGCUUGACAUCCCACGAACCUGCCUGAAAGGGCGGGGUGCCCGCAAGGGAGCGCGGAGACAGGUGGUGCAUGGCUGUCGUCAGCUCGUGUCGUGAGAUGUUGGGUUAAGUCCCGCAACGAGCGCAACCCUCACCCCUAGUUGCCACCGGGUCAUGCCGAGCACUCAAGGGGAACUGCCAGCGUCAAGCUGGAGGAAGGCGGGGAUGACGUCAAGUCAUCAUGCCCCUUACGCCCUGGGCUACACACGUGCUACAAUGGCCGGUACAAAGGGAUGCGAGACCGCGAGGUGGAGCUAAUCCCAAAAAGCUGGUCUAAGUUCAAAUUGCAGUCUGCAACUCGACUGCAUGAAGGAGGAAUCGCUAGUAAUCGCGCAUCAGCCCGGCGCGGUGAAUACGUUCCCGGGCCUUGUACACACCGCCCGUCACACCACGAAAGCUGUCUGUACUCGAAGUCGCUGAG
rnacentral:rRNA from 1 species